rnacentral:rRNA from 1 species
GACAGAGGGUGCAAACGUUGCUCGGAAUUACUGGGCGUAAAGCGCGUGUAGGCGGUUCCGCAAGUCAGGUGUGAAAGCCCAGGGCUCAACCCUGGAAGUGCACUUGAUACUACGGAGCUUGAGUACUGAAGAGGAGAGCGGAAUUCCCGGUGUAGCGGUGAAAUGCGUAGAGAUCGGGAGGAAGGCCGGUGGCGAAGGCGGCGCUCUGGAACGUUUCUGACACUGAGGCUCGAAAGCGUGGGGAGCAAAC